rnacentral:rRNA from 1 species
UACGGAGGGGGCUAGCGUUGUUCGGAAUUACUGGGCGUAAAGCGCACGUAGGCGGCUUUGUAAGUUAGAGGUGAAAGCCCAGGGCUCAACCCUGGAAUUGCCUUUAAGACUGCAUCGCUUGAACAUCGGAGAGGUAAGUGGAAUUCCGAGUGUAGAGGUGAAAUUCGUAGAUAUUCGGAAGAACACCAGUGGCGAAGGCGACUUACUGGACAUGUAUUGACGCUGAGGUGCGAAAGCGUGGGGAGCAAACAGG